GACGUAGGGCGCGAGCGUUGUCCGGAUUUAUUGGGCGUAAAGAGCGUGUAGGCGGUUAGGUAGGUCCGUUGUGAAAACUCGAGGCUCAACCUCGAGACGCCGAUGGAAACCAUCUGACUAGAGUCCGGAAGAGGAGAGUGGAAUUCCUGGUGUAGCGGUGAAAUGCGCAGAUAUCAGGAAGAACACCCGUGGCUAAGGCGGCUCUCUAGUACGUGACUGACGCUGAGACGCGAAAGCGUGGGGAGCGAACAGG
rnacentral:rRNA from 1 species